rnacentral:rRNA from 1 species
GACGAACGCUGGCGGCGUGCUUAACACAUGCAAGUCGAACGGAAAGGCCCCUUUGGGGGUACUCGAGUGGCGAACGGGUGAGUAACACGUGAGUAACCUGCCCUUGAUUUCGGGAUAACUUCAGGAAACUGGGGCUAAUACCGGAUAGGAAUCCUUGCUGCAUGGUGGGGGUUGGAAAGCUUCGGCGGUUUUGGAUGGACUCGCGGCUUAUCAGCUUGUUGGUGGGGUAGUGGCUUACCAAGGCUUUGACGGGUAGCCGGCCUGAGAGGGCGACCGGCCACAUUGGGACUGAGAUACGGCCCAGACUCCUACGGGAGGCAGCAGUGGGGAAUAUUGCACAAUGGGCGGAAGCCUGAUGCAGCAACGCCGCGGGCGGGAUGACGGCCUUCGGGUUGUAAACCGCUUUCAGCAGGGGCGAAGCUUGUGGUGACGGUACCUGCAGAAGAAGCACCGGCUAACUACGUG